rnacentral:lncRNA from 1 species
GGGGCAGGGACGGGAGGCAGCUCUCGUCUUUUGAGGGUGGUGUGGGGAGCAUUUAGUGAGAAAAUGCUGAGCGGGCAUGUGGCUUAUGACAGAUGCUCGCCAAUAGCAUCUGUGAUGAGGUGGAGGGGUGGGAGGAGAGGAAAGGAGGGCUCCCACAAAGCCCCUCCUACCCUCAUGGUUUUUUUUUUUUUUUUAGGGGGGAGGGGAGUAUAGUUGAUUUACAACAUGUGUUAGAUCCAGGUGUAUCUUCCUGUGCUUGAUAUGAUGCAAAAAACAAUGGAGGAAGCAUUAUGGAAGAGAGAGCAACUUCUACUCAGUGUAGUUGAUGUGCUCUGUCAUCUCUGUCUCUGGGUUGUAAUUCCACAAGUUGGUGCUGACCAUCUCCCAUAGUCCUCACAGUAGCCUAGUGAGGGAGCUUUUCUGUCCCUCACCAACAGGCGAGUGGAGUAGCAGGGGCUCAGGCAGGUGACACGGACACCUGAAAUGCUGGGCCGGAGGGCGUUGGAGCCGCCCUCCCCCCCCGCCCUAGGACCAGCAGGACCCAGGACCCAUUUUUCUCUCCCACCUCCAUCGGCAGACUUCCAGCUCGUUCUUGCUGAGAUACAAGUGACCGCAAUGCACAAGGCGAGGGGAGCUGUUAACUCGGGUUUCAGCAAGCCUGGCUGCCAGCACAACUGAGGUACUUACAGGUGGUUCCUGCCUCAUCUGUCCUGGGAGCUGGGAAUCAGUGUCCACACAAAAAUGACCAUGAUGCUGCCAUCACCUCUCACCUGGACACCGGACGGCCUCCCUGCACUUCCGCUACCUGGGCCCCCAGUGGAUCCUCUAAUCUAUUCUCAAAGCGUAGCCAGAAUGAUCUUUGCUAAAUGCAAACUUCCCUGUUCAGAGUGAGCUGCCAUUGCAAGGCCCCACCCUCUGUCCUCUCCAGCCUCACUUUGUCCCGCCCCCUCACAUCUCCUGGCAGCCACUAAUUUACAUUCCGUCUCUACAGAUUUGCCCAUUCUGGACAUUUCAUCUAACUGGACUCAUACAGUCUUUGUCCUUUUGUGUCUGGCUUCUUUCUCUCCCAUGGCGUCAUGCUUUCAAGAUGCAUCCAUGGGGUAGUAUGCCAUCACUUCAUACUUGAUCGUGGUGGCAUAAUAUUCCACUGCACAGAUAUCCACACUUAAUUUUCCAUUCAUCAGUUGAUGGACAUUUGGGUUGUUUCUACCCCUUGACUCUUAUGAACGGUGCUACUACAAACAUUUGUGUACAAUCGUCUGAGUACAUGUUUUUAAUUCUUUUGGGUGUUGAUGAGCAAUUCUUCGG